CGCAAUUAAAUUCUCGCAUUUGCCUGCGGCAUUUAUAACAAAGGAAGUUGCGUGUGUUCAUUUUCUCCUGCCACAACACUCACUGCGGCUUUUAUAAUUCGAGCAACAAGGAACGCUUUGUGUUUGAUGAAAAUCGCAUUUAUUGUCGAAGAAUACUGGCCAGCCAAUAAUUUGAAAGUAAUGCCCAAGCAUUAGGAGUAUAUAUAAGGUGCCAGUUGAAGCCCGUCUUUGACACGUCGCCUAAGCUAGAAAGCUGACUGGUCACUCUGCUCGGAAGCAAGACAUUCCAAGCAGCCUUCGCCAUGUCUGGAAUGAGUUCGUGCCAGAAGAAAUCCAGUGGCUUUCGCUACGCCGCCUGCCUUUUUGUGGUCGCGUUCGUAGCUUUCCAGCUCUGUCACAGCGCUUUAGCCUAUGACAACGACAACAGCGCCAAUAGUAACGCAGGCUCCAAUGCGAACGCGAACGCCAAUCGCCCCUACAAUGCGAACUCCGACAACGCCACUGCAUCCCCUGGAAAGCAUGCACACGACCUCGACAAGAAACAUUACUGAUCGCUGACGCCUCUCGAGCACGGUGUAGCAGCGCAUCUGGAAUAAAGCACGGAAAUCGGCAGCACCA